rnacentral:rRNA from 1 species
AUUCCGUAGAUGAACUGCGGAUCGCAUGUCAAUAAGCGGAGGAAGAUUCCGUAUAAGCGCAGAAGGUUUUUGAUGUCAGAAAACUAUAUUAUAAUUCAAACUUUCAACAACGGAUCUCUUGGUUCCGGGAUCGAUGAAGAACGCAGCGAAAUGCGAUAAGUAAUGGGAAUUGCAGAAUUCAGUGAAUCAUCGAAUCUUUGAACGCACAUUGCGCCCCCUGGUAUUCCGGGGGGCAUGCCUGUUGGAACGUCAUUACAACCCACAAGCUCUGCUUGGUAUUGGGCGUCAACCCCGGGUGCCCCUUAAAAUCAGUGGCGGUGCCGUCUGGGUUCCAGCGUAGUAAUACUUCUCGCUUUGGAGUUCGGGCGAGCCUCCUGCCAAAACCCCCAUAUUUUUUUCAGGUUGACCUCGGAUCAAGGUAGGGAUACCCGCUGAACUUAAGCAUAUCAAUA